CUGGGAAGGCCCUGGAAGGAGCCUGGGCUGAGCCCAUCACCAUCGCGGCUGAGGCAGGAGAAGGAGGCCUGGACUGGGGAGAGCGUGCCUUGAGGAGAUUGCAGGGACAGUGGUUCCUCUGACUGGAGUUUGGGGGAAUGAACUUUUGGGAGACAUCUCACAUCCAAACCAUAACACCUUAUAAGAAGAUAAAAUCUGGACCCAGGGAGGGACCCAGUGGUGUAUGUAUACAGAGGAGCCACCAGGAGAAGAGACAGCCAAAGUACAGCCAUCUGCAACCCAGAGAGAGGACUCAGAGGAAACCACCCCUGCCAGCACCUUGAUCUUAGACUUCCAGCCUCCAGAACUGAAUAAAUGGAAUGUGACCAUGUAGCACAACAGGAUGUACCUUGCUAGCAGACAGAUCUGGUGUGGGAUUCCGACUCUCCUUUUUUUCGGGCGUAAGAUGGUGGGUGAGGUUGAGAAGCUCUUGUGUCUGGUGUUCCUGAUGUGAUCCAAGAUAUCCUUGAUUUAGUUUGAUCUGGAACCUUGCUGACCCAGUAGGGACACCCGCCCAGGGCUGGCCCACUCCUAGACACAGUGAGCAGGCCCUGAGAAACUGCAAUAGAAGCCCUGACCCACAUUUGCCCCUGCCCUCUCCGUCUCUGGACUCACUGUGCGGACCCACACCCCACCAGAAGUUGCCUGGUGAUCAAAGAAAUCAGAACUUCUAUAAGAUAACCAACUGAAAAGGAAUUGUCUUGUCACUGGAAAAGGAUGUAUCGGGAAGGAAAGAUGGUGGACUGAGACAGACAUCAUUACCCUGUGUACAUGUAUGAUUACACAAAUGGUAUGAAGCUAGAUCGUGCACAACCAUAGAAAUGAAAAGAUGUACCCCAUUUGUGU